rnacentral:lncRNA from 10 species
GUGAGGGUAGCCGGGCAGCUCCCUAAACCUUAGCAACAGAAACAAAACACACGUACAAAAGGCAGUCCUGGAGGGGAAGCGUGGUCCCGGCCCCUCCUCCGGUUUGUACUGUGUGGAUUGACGCGGACGUUCAAACCCGCUCGGACACCUGGCAACAAACUCGAAAGUGACUGCUGAAGGCAGUGCGCCCGGUGAGACGUUGUUGCAGUUCCCUUGGGGACUGGGAUUGGCAUGCUUUAGCUAUCUGAACGAAACUUCCCUUUGGGGAGUUAAGUUUUCCAGAGACUCAGAGCCUUGGGGCACUGAGGGAUGCCAGUUCUGCCUGUUCAUCUGGAACCUGGAUCUAAGGAGGGAAGAGGCGUUGCCCCUGCUGGCAUAGUCAGGUACCAGCCCAGCCAGGUAUUGAACGGGCUGAGCUUUUCAUGAUGGUUCCUGCUGACCUGGAAACAUCUUAAAUGGAAGGUUAGCUUCUAUGAGUCACUGAUACUCUUUUUAUUGCUAUUUCUAAAUUUCCUUGGCUUGAAAAUUACUUCUGCUUUGCAGAAAUUAUCUGCUUGCAGCUGUGGAUAAUUUAUAACAAUCUCUGGUGAAACCUCAGAAAAGAGAUAUGCUUUUGUCUUAGAUGGAUGUCAGCAGCUGCUGCAGAACCCGGUGAAAACACCCCCCGGGUAGCACGAGGCUCUGCGAGCCGUAACUCCGACAAACGCAGAACUUCUUGAGGCUUUCUUCUUCUAAGGAGUAUGACACAGU